rnacentral:snRNA from 1 species
GUGUUUGAUUUGGAAGCACACAUACUAAAAUUGGAAUGAUACAGAAAAGAUUAGUAUGGCACCAGUGUAAGGAUGACACACAAAUUUAUGAAGUAUUCCAUAUUUUU